CAGCAGCCGCGGAAAUACCGAGGGUGCGAGCGUUAAUCGGAUUUACUGGGCGUAAAGCGUGCGUAGGCGGCUUCUUAAGUCGGAUGUGAAAUCCCUGAGCUUAACUUAGGAAUUGCAUUCGAUACUGGGAAGCUAGAGUAUGGGAGAGGAUGGUAGAAUUCCAGGUGUAGCGGUGAAAUGCGUAGAGAUCUGGAGGAAUACCGAUGGCGAAGGCAGCCAUCUGGCCUAAUACUGACGCUGAGGUACGAAAGCAUGGGGAGCAAACAGGAUUAGAUACCCGCGUAGUCCCUGUCUCUUAUAC
rnacentral:rRNA from 1 species